CACGUAGGGUGCGAGCGUUGUCCGGAAUUAUUGGGCGUAAAGAGCUCGUAGGCGGUGUGUCGCGUCGGCCGUGAAAACCUGGGGCUUAACUCUGGGCUUGCGGUCGAUACGGGCAUCACUGGAGUUCGGCAGGGGGGACUGGAAUUCCUGGUGUAGCGGUGAAAUGCGCAGAUAUCAGGAGGAACACCGGUGGCGAAGGCGGGUCUCUGGGCCGAUACUGACGCUGAGGAGCGAAAGCGUGGGGAGCGAACAGG
rnacentral:rRNA from 1 species